rnacentral:rRNA from 1 species
UACAGGGGGGGCAAGCGUUGUUCGGAAUUACUGGGCGUAAAGGGUUUGUAGGUGGCUUGUUAAGUCAGACGUGAAAUCCCUCAGCUUAACUGGGGAACUGCGUCUGAUACUGAUGAGCUUGAGUGCAGGAGAGGAACGCGGAAUUCCAGGUGUAGCGGUGAAAUGCGUAGAUAUCUGGAGGAACACCGGUGGCGAAGGCGGCGUUCUGGACUGCAACUGACACUGAGGAGCGAAAGCCAGGGGAGCAAACGGG